UACGAGGGGGGCAAGCGUUGUCCGGAAUCAUUGGGCGUAAAGAGCGUGUAGGCGGCCCGAUAAGUCCGCUGUGAAAGUCCAGGGCUCAACCCUGGGAUGCCGGUGGAUACUGUCGGGCUCGAGUCCGGAAGAGGAGUGUGGAAUUCCUGGUGUAGCGGUGAAAUGCGCAGAUAUCAGGAGGAACACCAAUGGCGAAGGCAGCACUCUGGGACGUGACUGACGCUGAGACGCGAAAGCGUGGGGAGCAAACAGG
rnacentral:rRNA from 1 species